ACGAACGCUGGCGGCAUGCCUAACACAUGCAAGUCGAACGAGACCUUCGGGUCUAGUGGCGCACGGGUGCGUAACGCGUGGGAACCUGCCCUUAGGUUCGGAAUAACUCCCCGAAAGGGGUGCUAAUACCGGAUAAUGUCUUCGGACCAAAGAUUUAUCGCCUUUGGAUGGGCCCGCGUUGGAUUAGCUAGUUGGUAGGGUACAAGCCUACCAAGGCGACGAUCCAUAGCUGGUCUGAGAGGAUGAUCAGCCACACUGGGACUGAGACACGGCCCAGACUCCUACGGGAGGCAGCAGUGGAGAAUAUUGGAAAAUGGGCGAAAGCCUGAUCCAGCAAUGCCGCGUGAGUGAUGAAGGCCUUAGGGUUGUAAAGCUCUUUUACCCGGGAUGAUAAUGACAGUACCGGGAGAAUAAGCUCCGGCUAACUCCGUG
rnacentral:rRNA from 1 species